UGCCCAGUCUGCAGAGUAGGUG
rnacentral:miRNA from 1 species